NNNNNNNNNNNNGGGGGCGAUGGAGAUCGGGGAGUGGAGUCAGGACCCUGGAGGGUUGGCAGAGAGGUUCUGGGAGUCCCUGGAGAGGGUGGAGUGAGGGGGUCCGUGGGGUUGUUGUUAUGGGAGGGGGAGUUUGGGGUAGGUGGGAAGAGGGUGGAGGAAGUUGUGGGGAAGGGGUAGUUAAAAGUUUUGGGGGGCUGUGGGGUUAUUUGGGAUCUCUUGGGGUGAAUAUUUGGGCUCCCCUGGGACUGAGGAGUCCCCAUGUGUGAGGAGUGGGCGAGGAGACCCCACUGCUGAUCCUGGCUGUGGCUCUGCCCCUGCCAGACCCUCUCCGUGUUGGGGGGUUCAGCAACACCCCCCUGCCCUGGCCCCCAGGGGUCACCCCGAGGCACCCAGCGAGGCCGGGCCUCCGCUGCUCCUCCCAGACUUCACCAACAGCCUUGGGCUUCCCGGCAUCGCAGUGGCUCCUCCUUCGUGCCCCCCCAUCCCGGGGAGCAGCACCCGGGGGACCGACCCUGUGUCGUUUGGGGACACUGCUGGCGGCAGCUCCAGCAGCGGGAUCGCCCCGCUCCCGGGGGCUGGCGGGGAGCCGGGUGCGAGAGAGCGUGGGGUCCCUGGGCUCCCUGUCCUGGGGGGCUCCCCGGGGACCCCACACUCUGCAGCGUGCCGUGGGUGGCUCCCCGGGGUCCCCACGCUCGGCGCCGGGCUGUGAGUGGCUCCCCGGGGUCCCCACACUCUGCACCGGGCUGUACCGUGGGUGGAUCCCCGGGGACCCCACACUCUGCACCGGGCUGUACCGUGGGUGGAUCCCCGGGGACCCCACACUCUGCACCGGGCUGUACCGUGGGUGGAUCCCCGGGGACCCCACACUCUGCACCGGGCUGUACCGUGGGUGGAUCCCCGGGGACCCCACACUCUGCACCGGGCUGUACCGUGGGUGGAUCCCCGGGGACCCCACACUCUGCACCGGGCUGUACCGUGGGUGGAUCCCCGGGGACCCCACACUCUGCACCGGGCUGUACCGUGGGUGGAUCCCCGGGGACCCCACACUCUGCACCGGGCUGUACCGUGGGUGGAUCCCCGGGGACCCCACACUCUGCACCGGGCUGUACCGUGGGUGGAUCCCCGGGGACCCCACACUCUGCACCGGGCUGUACCGUGGGUGGAUCCCCGGGGACCCCACACUCUGCACCGGGCUGUACCGUGGGUGGAUCCCCGGGGACCCCACACUCUGCACCGGGCUGUACCGUGGGUGGAUCCCCGGGGACCCCACACUCUGCACCGGGCUGUACCGUGGGUGGAUCCCCGGGGACCCCACACUCUGCACCGGGCUGUACCGUGGGUGGAUCCCCGGGGACCCCACACUCUGCACCGGGCUGUACCGUGGGUGGAUCCCCGGGGACCCCACACUCUGCACCGGGCUGUACCGUGGGUGGAUCCCCGGGGACCCCACACUCUGCACCGGGCUGUACCGUGGGUGGAUCCCCGGGGACCCCACACUCUGCACCGGGCUGUACCGUGGGUGGAUCCCCGGGGACCCCACACUCUGCACCGGGCUGUACCGUGGGUGGAUCCCCGGGGACCCCACACUCUGCACCGGGCUGUACCGUGGGUGGAUCCCCGGGGACCCCACACUCUGCACCGGGCUGUACCGUGGGUGGAUCCCCGGGGACCCCACACUCUGCACCGGGCUGUACCGUGGGUGGAUCCCCGGGGACCCCACACUCUGCACCGGGCUGUACCGUGGGUGGAUCCCCGGGGACCCCACACUCUGCACCGGGCUGUACCGUGGGUGGAUCCCCGGGGACCCCACACUCUGCACCGGGCUGUACCGUGGGUGGAUCCCCGGGGACCCCACACUCUGCACCGGGCUGUACCGUGGGUGGAUCCCCGGGGACCCCACACUCUGCACCGGGCUGUACCGUGGGUGGAUCCCCGGGGACCCCACACUCUGCACCGGGCUGUACCGUGGGUGGAUCCCCGGGGACCCCACACUCUGCACCGGGCUGUACCGUGGGUGGAUCCCCGGGGACCCCACACUCUGCACCGGGCUGUACCGUGGGUGGAUCCCCGGGGACCCCACACUCUGCACCGGGCUGUACCGUGGGUGGAUCCCCGGGGACCCCACACUCUGCACCGGGCUGUACCGUGGGUGGAUCCCCGGGGACCCCACACUCUGCACCGGGCUGUACCGUGGGUGGAUCCCCGGGGACCCCACCCGCGGUGCCCGCCGGCUGCGGUUUCCCGGAGGAAGCUCCGUCCCCGCCGCACGGAAGCGGCGCCGUGCCGGCGCGGUUGUGCUGCGCCCCGGAUGUGCCGCUCCGGCACAAAGAUGGACGGGCAGCCACCUGUCCGGCCCCGUGGCCUCAGUGACCCUGUGUCACCAGAUCCCCCGUGUCCCCAAGUCCCCGCAUCCUCACGUCCACAAAUCCCAUUGUCCCUGCAGCUUGAUGGCCUCAGGUCCCUUUGUCCCCAGAUUCUCACGAUCCAAUGUCCCUAAAACCUGACGUCUCCACUUUCCCCAGAUCCUUUUGUCCCCAAAUCCACACACCCCGAUGUCCCCACAUUCCCUGAUCCCUUUGUGCCCGCUUCCCGCUGUCCCCACGUGUCUCCCAUCCCGGGAUGCUGCCGGCAGGGCCGGCUCCCGGUACUGGGGGCGGGGGUCUCCCGGCCCCGGGGUGGGAGGUGAGUUGGGAAAACAGGGCCGGGCAGUUUUUGGGGUGCCGCAGGGUCCCUGCGCUGCGGUGCCGC
ensembl:lncRNA